rnacentral:rRNA from 1 species
UGAGUACGAGAUGCUACGGCAUCGAAGCAGUCUAUGUCAUACUUCCAAGAAAAGCUUGCACUGUCAUAAACAAAGAAUGCCUGUACCAUAACCGACACAGGUGGGUAGGUAGAGUAUACUAAGGGGCGCGAGAUAACUCUCUCUAAGGAACUCGGCAAAAUGACUCCGUAACUUCGGGAGAAGGAGUGCCUUAUUUCUAAGGUUGCAAUAACAAGAUCCAAGCAACUGUUUACCAAAAACACAGGUCUCCGCUAAGUCGUAAGACGAUGUAUGGGGGCUGACGCCUGCCCAGUGCCAGAAGGUUAAAGAAGUUGGUUAGCAUUAGCGAAGCUGAUAACUGAAGCCCUGGUGAACGGCGGCCGUAACUAUAACGGUCCUAAGGUAGCGAAAUUCCUUGUCGGGUAAGUUCCGACCCGCACGAAAGGCGUAAUGAUUUGGAUACUGUCUCGGAGAGGGGCUCGGUGAAAUAGACUUGUCUGUGAAGAUGCGGACUACCUGCACCUGGACAGAAAGACCCUAUGAAGCUUUACUGUAACUUGAGAUUGAAAUUGGAUUUUAUUUGCGCAGUAUAGGUGGGAGGCGUUGAGAAUAAUCUUGCGGGAUUGUUGGAGCCAUCAGUGAGAUACCACUCUUGUAAUGUUAGAUUUCUAACUUUGUAUCAUUAUCUGGUCAAAGAACAGUUUCAGGCGGGCAGUUUGACUGGGGCGGUCGCCUCCCAAAGGGUAACGGAGGCGCACAAAGGUUUCCUCUGAACGGGUAGAAAUCGUAUCUAGAGUGUAAAGGCAUAAGGAAGCUUGACUGUGAGACCUACAAGUCGAGCAGGGACGAAAGUCGGUCUUAGUGAUCUGACGGUGCUGAGUGGAAAGGCCGUCACUCAACGGAUAAAAGUUACUCUAGGAUAACAGGCUGAUCUCCCCCAAGAGUUCACAUCGACGGGGAGGUUUGGCACCUCGAUGUCGGCUCAUCGCAUCCUGGGGCGGUAGUCCGUCCCAAGGGUUGGGCUGUUCGCCCAUGAAAGCGGUACGCGAGCUGGGUUCAGAACGUCGUGAGACAGUUCGGUCCAUAUCCGGUGUAGGCGUUAGAAUAUUGAGAGGAGCCUUCUCUAGUACGAGAGGACCGAGAAGGACAUACCUCUGGUGUACCAGUUAUCGUGCCAACGGUACACGCUGGGUAGCUAUGUAUGGAGUGGAUAACCGCUGAAAGCAUCUAAGUGGGAAGCCCACCUCAAGAUAAGUAUUCUCAC